CCUACGGGGGGCAGCAGUAGGGAAUUUUCGGCAAUGGACGAAAGUCUGACCGAGCAACGCCGCGUGAGUGAAGAAGGUUUUCGGAUCGUAAAACUCUGUUGUUAGAGAAGAACAAGGAUGAGAGUAACUGUUCAUCCCUUGACGGUAUCUAACCAGAAAGCCACGGCUAACUACGUGCCAGCAGCCGCGGUAAUACGUAGGUGGCAAGCGUUGUCCGGAUUUAUUGGGCGUAAAGCGAGCGCAGGCGGUU
rnacentral:rRNA from 1 species